GAUGAACGCUGGCGGCGUGCUUAAUACAUGCAAGUCGAACGGAGGUAUGUAGCAAUACGUAUCUUAGUGGCGAACGGGUGAGUAACGCGUUGGUGACCUGCCCCAAAGUGUGGGAUAACAGUCCGAAAGGAUUGCUAAUACCGCAUGUGGUCAUCGGGUUUAGAAACCGAUGACUAAAGCAGUAAUGCGCUUUGGGAGGGACCUGCGUCCCAUCAGCUAGUUGGUAGGGUAAUGGCCUACCAAGGCGACGACGGGUAGGGGACCUGAGAGGGUGGCCCCCCACAAUGGAACUGAAACACGGUCCAUACACCUACGGGAGGCAG
rnacentral:rRNA from 1 species